UCCAUCACUAACCUGCUGCUAGAGAGGAACUGUACGGAGACUGGCGAAGGAAUGGAUGGAUAGAGGAAAGCUAAAUGACUGCCCCAUACCCAGAGAUAGAGGCUCCCUGCUGGGGGGAUAACUGCAGGCUGGGGCCCGUCUCUCCUGGAGCUCUUUGUCUCUGAGACUCCCAAUCAGCCAGACUUCAGUCUGCCAUCGCCUCUGGAGGAGUGAAUGAAGAAGCGAUUUUGUGAAGAGUGAGGCUGAGAAGAAGACUGCAAGUGAUUUUUGGCUCAGCUCAGCACCGCAUCCAGCUGCUCCCACGUCCAAACGAACCGCCAUGCCGAAUCAGAGCAGAAGCCACCUCCACCAACAAGAAUCCGACCUGUGCUCCCAAUCACGCCGCAAUCAGACAAUGCAGACGCAACACAUACACACACAAGGAUGAACUGACAGGGACAUACAAACCAGCGUCCAGAUGUGGUGCCUGAUGGGAAUUUAGUGCGCUGAGAAAUGCAGAAUCACAGAGAUCACAUCCAAAUGGAAAACCCAUUCAUUCCUUCGGGACAGAUGAUCGUCUGGAGAUUUCCCACAGGAAUAUGGCGUUUCCUGUCUGUAUAUAUUUAAGCCAAGUCACGGUACUAAUAUACUUUAUAUCCCCAUAUCUAAUUCUGUUUAUCUUCAUAGAUUUGACUGCGCUUUCAACCGAUGUGAGGCAGAACAGGUCUGAAUAUUGAAUUAUUAAUAGAUCCAGCUCUUUAGCGGCCAAAUCUUGUGUUUAUAUCCUCAUGGAGUGAUUUUU